rnacentral:misc_RNA from 1 species
CCUCUAUCUCGCGCACUCUCUUUUUUCUCUUUGUUCGGAGUGCUGCUUGCUCGCCUCCCUUCCUUCUCCCUCUGGCCCAUCCGCUCCACUCCUCUCCACUCCGUCCCCCCUCCCCACUCCACCCCAGCACCUCCGCCAGCGCCUCCUUCAGACAUUAGCAGCGGCAUCUCGGUACGCUUGUGUGCGCUGCGGUUGUUCUCUAUCCCUUUUUGUCCCCCCCCCCUUGUCGUCUCCCGCUGAAGCGACACUGGAAAAAGCCCCCAAGGAGAACGGGUUUCACGGCAUCGCGAUGGGGUCCGGCAUCUCCAAGGAGGCCGCUCCCGUGGCCUUCAAGAAUGGCAAGCCCACCGUCAAAGGGACCAAGACAUACCCGAUGUUCAGCAACAUCCUCUACCGCAUUGCCGACACGGAAGCCAGGCGCUGGGCUUUCUACAAUGAUAGCAGGGAGCUUAUCAUUCACGUGGCCGUCCUCUUCGACUACGACUCGCAGAUAGUGCCGCUGGGCGACACCACCGCCUUCCGCAUUGAUGACCCGGAUGAGGGUAACGAAGACGACUUUGGCAAGUAUCUCUGCGAGGUGGAUGUGCGCCCGCUCGAGACCCAGAUGUUCGUUGAGGGGUCGGUGACGGGGUGGCGCGUCGACACGCUCGAAGCCCGCACGGCUGAGGAUGAGCGUGGGUACCGCCUUUAGAUGAUACCUAUCUGGCGAGAAAAGGGAGGACUGGUAGGCGGGGCAUGAUCGAGACACACACACACAGACAGAAUCUCGUUCCCCAUGAAUUGCCCUUACGGUAUGCACUGUGCACCGGCGCCUGUGGUCCUCCUCCUUCUCCACCCUCUCUCCCUUUCCCGUUGCUGGAUUCCUGUGAUGGCAGCGCUGGCGACCAUAAAAGGUGCCGCAGCGCAUGACAGGAGGAGGAGGAGAGGCGGCAACGAAGCGAGGCGCACGAGAAGACAGGACGAAUGGGGCUCUUAGGAUACAGACGUAGGGAUCAAAACAAAAACAAAAAAAAACAAAAAAAACAGCGCUGUUAGCGCUCACGGGCGCAUUUGAGAGCUCGUGCGCGUGCUUGGGGCGAUACAGCGUCCUCUUUUCUCUCUUCUCCUGCGGCGUCCCCGUCGUUUCUUCCACUCCCGUUCUCAACCCUUUCUUUCCACCGUCUUCCGCUACCAUUCUCUCUCUUCAUUCUUUCUCCGAUCUCUUUAUGCAUGUGGUUAAUAAGACCCAGAGCCAUCGUUUUUCUCCUUUCUCCCUACUAUCUUUCCUGUGCAUAUGCUAGAGGCUGUGCAUGCGUGUGUGUGUGUGUGUCUGUGCGCCACUACACGUGUGGGCCUCUGUGGGAUUCUCUCUUUUUUUUUUCGUUGUUGAUGUUGCGGGCGUAUUGUGUGUGUGUGUGCAGGUGAGCGACUGUGACCUGCGCAUGGCUAUGCCUCUCUUUUUUUCCUUUCUGCUUUGGUGUAUCUCUGAUUGCUUCACAAGCGCGUGCUUGUUUCUCUCUCUCUGCGUGUGUGUGUGCGCGCUUGUGUAUGUGCGGCAAUACGGGUGGGCUGGCCGGCGGCUUGUGCGUGCAUCUCACCAUCUCUUUCCUCUUAUGACCGUGCAUGUGUGUAUGUGCUUUCUACGUCGCUUCCUGUGUGUGCAUAUGUGUCUACAUGUGUGCUUGUGUGUGUGUGUGUGUCCAUAUAGCUUCCUUUUUUUGUCUCUAGCUCGCCUGCUCACCUGCUCACUGCGUGCGUGCUUUCAGUUUUUGGCGCAGAUGUUUGUGUGUGUGUGUAUGCGUGUGGCCGUGGGUGGCCUUCAUUUUUUUUUGUAGUCUCUUCGCUUCCCUCUUGUGGUUUCGCGUCCUGCGCUGCCUUUUGUCUCCUUGUUCACUCUUUUCCCCUACUUUCUAUGUUUCCUCAGCAGACGGCGGCGGAGUGCACUCGGGAUCGUCCCCCUCUCCCUCUCCCUUCCUCUCGGUGCUCCUCGCUUCUCCUCCCAUUCAUUUUUCUCUUUUCGCUGUUGCAACUAUUAUUCUUGUUUUGCAUGUAAACGGUGUCUGGCGGGGGAGUGCACCCUCACCCGCCCUGCGGUGCAAGGUGCUUUCCUCCCUCGCCACACUCCCAUGUACGCACAAACGCACACACGCACACGCAAACACACGCGUUUGCGCUGCCUCGUCGAUUCCGCGAGGCACACGCGCGCCGUGCAUGUGUGCGCGUCGCCAGUUACGUGUAGUGACCACCGUGGGCGUUCACGAGUGGCGCCGAGGGAACACGCGCGGCUGGGUAGGGAUGAGGUGGCGUAGUGAGGCAGAAGGGGGACAGUCCAGGCAGUGCGUAGCAGCUUGCACGUGUGAUUUGCGAGAAAGGCUCAAAAGGGUCCUCGUGAGACGCAUAGGAACGCACUGCCAAACAGAGAAAGAAUUAGACGGAUCAAUGAAGCGAGCGGGCGUGCUUGUUUGCCUCUCUGGAGCGCAUCUUCGCACCUACAUGUGUGUCUUCCAUGCCUGUAUGCCAUCUUGUCGUUCUGUUCUUCCUUUCUCUGCGCACUCUCUCAGACCGACACCGCCAUCGAACUCGACAAAAGGCGAGAACGUGCAGAAGGGCGAGCGUGCAUGCGUGGGCGGGGGGAGGCGAUACGGAAAGAGGUAAGUCGGAGUGGUGACUCCGAGGUAUGUCUUUGGCGCUCUCUCACUCUUUCCCCUUCUCCUUCUUACUCAGCGUUGUAGUUUGUGUGCGCGCUUGUCUUUUUCAUUGUCUUCUCUCCUCUUUUUCUUCUUUCUGAACUUCGGGCCAAUGAAGAAGUGCUUGCGUGCGUGUAUGCAACUACCCCUUUUUCUAGCACCCUCUGUGUGUGUGUGUGCUGAUUACUGUGGCCGCCGUCAUCGACGUCGCGUCGUGCGAGUUGUCCCUCCUGCGCCCUCGCAAGCAGUUGUGUUUCCUCCUCUCUGUGUUUUGCUCUGCGCCUUUGGCGCUCUGGCAAGGAGCGGCGGCACACGUGCGGUCCGCGGCCCUCUCAGACUCUCGAUUCUCUGAAUACUUCCCCGUUUCUCCCCAUCGCAUGCGCCGCUUUCUCUUCUCUGCUCUUUGAUGGCCAUUCUUCACGGCCGAAGGGAGAGAAUGUGUCAGGGACCGUGCGCUGCGUUACGCGUUCGAGUGGGUUAACGACAACAC